GUUUACUAUUAAACACUUGAAGUUGAAACAGUCAAACACUUUCAAGCAAAAAAAAAUAAUAAAUAAAUAAAUUAAAAAGAAGUAGAGAUAAUAAAAUGUUUAUUUGAUUUACUUAAAUUAAUAAUACAUAAUUUAAACAUAACUACAAAAAGAAAAAAAAUGUGUAAUCAAGAUAUUGAUAAGAGAGAAAGUAUCUUAGAU
rnacentral:lncRNA from 1 species